AUUGCUUCUCAGCCUUUUGGCUAAGUUCAAGUGUGGUGUCUGUUCUUAUCAGUUAAAAUGGUAGAUUAGCAAUUGUUAUUAGAUUGGUAAUUGUAAUCAACAGGGAUUGGUAGAUUAAAAUGGUUGAGUAACAAAAAGAAAUCUGCCACAUGUUUCCACACUAGCUAAUCAACAGCUUGGUAAUAUUUCUAUU
ensembl:snRNA U2 U2 spliceosomal RNA